GCCGAAGUGGUGAAAUUGGUAGACACACUAUCUUGAGGGGGUAGCGGCGCAAGCCAUGCCGGUUCGAGUCCGGCCUUCGGCACCA
rnacentral:tRNA from 1 species